rnacentral:lncRNA from 1 species
AUGUGUUGUGUGUUGUGUGUGCUCUGUUGUGUGUGUGCUGUGUGCUCUGUUUGUUGUGUGGUGUGUGUGCUGUGUGCUCUGUGUGUGUGGUGUGUGUGCUGUGUGCUCUGUGUGUUGUGGUGUGUGUGCUGUGUGCUCUGUUGUGUGUGUUUUGUGUGCUGUGUGUGUUGUGUGGUGUGUGUGUGUUUUGUGCGCUGUGUGUUGUGUGCUGUGUGUGUUGUGUGCUCUGUGUGUUGUGUGCUGUGUGCUCUGUGUGUUGUGUGUGUUGUGUGCUCUGUUGUGUGUGUGCUGUGUGCUGUUUGUUGUGUGGUGUGUGUGCUGUGUGCUGUGUGCUCUGUGUGCUGUUUGCUGUGUGUGGUGUGUGCUGUGCUCAUGUGUUGUGUGGUGUGUGUGCUGUGUGCUCUGUGUGUUGUGUGGUGUGUGUUGUGUGCUCUGUGUGUUGUGUGUGGUGUGUGUGCUGUGUGCUCUGUUGUGUGUGUUGUGUGCUCUGUGUGUUGUGUGGUGUGUGUGCUGUGUGCUCUGUUGUGUGUGUGCUAUGUGCUCUGUUGUGAUGUGUGGUGUGUGUGCUGUCUGCUCUGUGUGCUGUGUGGUGUGUGUGCUGUGUGCUCUAUGUGUUGUGUUUUGUGUGCUGUGUGCUCUGUGUGUUGUGUGUUGUGUGUGCUGUGUGCUCUGUGUUGUGUUUUGUGUGCUGUGUGCUCUGUGUGGUGUGUGGUCUGUGGUGUGUGUGCUCUGUGUGGUGUGUGUGCUCUAUGUGUUGUGUUGUGUGUGCUGUGUGCUCUGUGUGGUGUGUGGUGUGUGUGCUCUAUGCUCUGUGUGUUGUGUGGUAUGUGUGCUGUGUGCUCUAUGUGUUGUGUUUUGUGUGCUGUGUGCUCUGUGUGUUGUGUUGUGUGUGCUGUGUGUGCUUUCCUUGUGUGUUGUGUUUUGUGUGCUGUGUGCUCUGUGUGUUGUGUUGUGUGUGCUGUGUGCUCUGUGUGGUGUGUGGUCUGUGGUGUGUGUGUGCUCUGUGUGGUGUGUGUGUGCUCUAUGUGUAUUUGUGUUGUUGUGGUAUUACUGUGCUCUGUGUGUGGUGUGUGGUGUGUGUAUUGCUGUGUGUGUGGAGAGGGAAGCUCAUUGUGUAGGAAAUGA